rnacentral:rRNA from 1 species
GUGCUCCUACGGGAGGCAGCAGUAGGGAAUCUUCCACAAUGGGCGAAAGCCUGAUGGAGCGACGCCGCGUGGGUGAAGAAGGUCUUCGGAUCGUAAAACCCUGUUGUUAGAGAAGAAAGUGCGUGAGAGUAACUGUUCACGUUUCGACGGUAUCUAACCAGAAAGCCACGGCUAACUACGUGCCAGCAGCCGCGGUAAUACGUAGGUGGCAAGCGUUAUCCGGAUUUAUUGGGCGUAAAGGGAACGCAGGCGGUCGUUUAAGGCUGAUGUGAAAGCC